UACGGAGGAUGCGAGCGUUAUCCGGAUUUAUUGGGUUUAAAGGGUGCGUAGGCGGAACAAUAAGUCAGUGGUGAAAGACUGCAGCUUAACUGUAGACUUGCCGUUGAUACUGUUGAUCUUGAGUAUGGUCAAGGCAGGCGGAAUGUGUAAUGUAGCGGUGAAAUGCUUAGAUAUUACAAAGAACACCGAUUGCGAAGGCAGCUUGCUGGGCCAUUACUGACGCUGAUGCACGAAAGUGUGGGGAUCAAA
rnacentral:rRNA from 1 species